GCCUGCCUGCCCGCCCGACCGGCCACCCAGACUGCCCGCCCAGGAGCCCCACUGGACCCCAGGGAAUCCCCCCAGCAAUACAAAAGGUAAGGAGGCUGGGGGGAUUACAUAAAAAAAAAAACAUGUGUUACAGUGAGUGUUAGUGUGUGUGUGAGUGUUAAUGUGAGUGUUAGUGUGUGUGUGUGAGUGUUAGUGUGUGUCUGCUAGUGAGUGUUAGUGUGAGAGUGUGUGUGUCUGCUAGUGAGUGUCAGUGAGUGUUACUGUGUGUGUCUUACUGUGUGUGUUAGUGAGUCUGUUUGAUGUCUGUUAGUGAGUGUGUGUUUGUCAAUGAGAGUGUAUGUUUUGUAAAUGAGUGUGUAUGUCUGUCGCUGAGUGUGUCUCAGUAAAUGUGUGUGUCUGUUAGCUAGUGUGUAUGCGUCUGUAAGUGUGUGUGUCUUCAGCACUUACCUUUCUCCAGUGCCGGACUCCCUUGGCGCUGGGGAUCCCUCAGCCUCUCAGCUCCGAAUGCGAC